UAGCUAGUUGGUGAGGUAAAGGCUUACCAAGGCGACGAUCUGUAGCGGGUCUGAGAGGAUGAUCCGCCACACUGGAACUGAGACACGGUCCAGACUCCUACGGGAGGCAGCAGUGGGGAAUUUUGGACAAUGGGGGCAACCCUGAUCCAGCCAUGCCGCGUGAGUGAAGAAGGCCUUCGGGUUGUAAAGCUCUUUCGGCCGGGAAGAAAUCGCAUGGGCCAAUACCCUGUGUGGAUGACGGUACCGGAAUAAGAAGCACCGGCUAACUACGUGCCAGCAGCCGCGGUAAUACGUAGGGUGCGAGCGUUAAUCGGAAUUACUGGGCGUAAAGCGUGCGCAGGCGGUUUUGUAAGACAGGCGUGAAAUCCCCGGGCUUAACCUGGGAACUGCGUUUGUGACUGCAAGGCUAGAGUACGGCAGAGGGGGGUGGAAUUCCACGUGUAGCAGUGAAAUGCGUAGAGGUGUGGAGGAACACCAAUGGCGAAGGCAGCCCCCUGGGUCGAUACUGACGCUCAUGCACGAAAGCGUGGGUAGCAAACAGGAUUAGAUACCCUGGUAGUCCACGCCCUAAACUAUGUCAACUAGGUGUUGGGUGGGUAAAACCAUUUAGUACCGUAGCUAACGCGUGAAGUUGACCGCCUGGGGAGUACGGCCGCAAGGUUAAAACUCAAAGGAAUUGACGGGGACCCGCACAAGCGGUGGAUGAUGUGGAUUAAUUCGAUGCAACGCGAAAAACCUUACCUACCCUUGACAUGCCAGGAACUUGCCAGAGAUGGCUUGGUGCCCGAAAGGGAGCCUGGACACAGGUGCUGCAUGGCUGUCGUCAGCUCGUGUCGUGAGAUGUUGGGUUAAGUCCCGCAACGAGCGCAACACUUGUCGUUAAUUGCCAUCAUUUGGUUGGGCACUUUAACGAGACUGCCGGUGACAAACCGGAGGAAGGUGGGGAUGACGUCAAGUCCUCAUGGCCCUUAUGGGUAGGGCUUCACACGUCAUACAAUGGUCGGUACAAAGGGUUGCCAAGCCGCGAGGCGGAGCCAAUCCCAAAAGCCGAUCGUAGUCCGGAUUGCAGGCUGCAACUCGCCUGCAUGAAGUCGGAAUCGCUAGUAAUCGUGGAUCAGCAUGUCACGGUGAAUACGUUCCCGGGUCUUGUACACACCGCCCGUCACACCAUGGGAGCGGGUUCCGCCAGAAGUAGGUAGCCUAACCGCAAGGGGGGCGCUUACCACGGCGGGGUUCGUGACUGGGGUGAAGUCGUAACAAGGUAGCCGUAGGGGAACCUGCGGCUG
rnacentral:rRNA from 1 species